UACGUAGGGUGCGAGCGUUGUCCGGAAUUACUGGGCGUAAAGAGUUCGUAGGCGGUUUGUCGCGUCGUUCGUGAAAACUUGGGGCUUAACUCCAAGCGUGCGGGCGAUACGGGCAGACUUGAGUACUACAGGGGAGACUGGAAUUCCUGGUGUAGCGGUGAAAUGCGCAGAUAUCAGGAGGAACACCGGUGGCGAAGGCGGGUCUCUGGGUAGUAACUGACGCUGAGGAGCGAAAGCAUGGGGAGCGAACAGG
rnacentral:rRNA from 1 species